AUACAUAGGGGGCAAGCGUUAUCCGGAAUUAUUGGGCGUAAAGGGUGCGUAGGCGGUCUAUUAAGUUUAAGGUAUAAGUGCAAGGCUCAACCUUGUGAGGCUUUAGAAACUGGUAGGCUAGAGAUAGAUAGAGGCAAGUGGAAUUCCAUGUGUAGCGGUAAAAUGCGUAAAUAUAUGGAGGAACACCAGUGGCGAAGGCGGCUGGCUGGGUCUAUACUGACGCUGAGGCACGAAAGCGUGGGGAGCAAACAGGAUUAGAUCCCCUGGUAGUCCACGCCGUAAACGAUGAGUACUAAGUGUUGGGGGAACCCAGUGCUGUAGUUAACAUAUUAAGUACUCCGCCUGAGUAGUACGUACGCAAGUAUGAAACUCAAAGGAAUUGACGGGG
rnacentral:rRNA from 1 species